GACGAACGCUGGCGGCGUGCCUAAUACAUGCAAGUAGAACGCUGAAGGAGGAGCUUGCUUCUCUGGAUGAGUUGCGAACGGGUGAGUAACGCGUAGGUAACCUGCCUGGUAGCGGGGGAUAACUAUUGGAAACGAUAGCUAAUACCGCAUAAUAGUAGAUGUUGCAUGACAUUUGCUUAAAAGGUGCAAUUGCAUCACUACCAGAUGGACCUGCGUUGUAUUAGCUAGUUGGUGGGGUAACGGCUCACCAAGGCGACGAUACAUAGCCGACCUGAGAGGGUGAUCGGCCACACUGGGACUGAGACACGGCCCAGACUCCUACGGGAGGCAGCAGUAGGGAAUUUUCGGCAAUGGACGGAAGUCUGACCGAGCAACGCCGCGUGAGUGAAGAAGGUUUUCGGAUCGUAAAGCUCUGUUGUAAGAGAAGAACGAGUGUGAGAGUGGAAAGUUCACACUGUGACGGUAUCUGACCAGAAAGGGACGGCUAACUACGUG
rnacentral:rRNA from 1 species